rnacentral:rRNA from 1 species
GACGACCGCUGGCGGCGUGCUUAACACAUGCAAGUCGAACGGAAAGGCCCUGCUUGCAUGGUGCUCGAGUGGCGAACGGGUGAGUAACACGUGGGUGAUCUGCCCCUUUCUUUUGGAUAAGCCUGGGAAACUGGGUCUAAUACUGGGUAGGACCAUGCUGUAGGUGGUGUGGCGGAAAGCUUUUUUCGGUAAGGGAUAAGCUCGCGGCCUAUCAGCUUGUUGGUGGGGUAAUGGCCUACCAGGGCGUCGACGGGUCGCCGCCCGGGGAGGGUGGAGGGCCUAGUGGCGACGGGGGUAGGCCCAGGCCUCCACCGGAAGGCGCCGCGGGGGAUCAUUCGGGAUUGGGGGCACGCCGGAGGAGAGGCGAGCGCCGGGGGAUGACGGCCUUCGGGUUGUAAACGCCUUUCAGCCAUGACGAAGCCUCUUUUGGGGUGACGGUAGUGGUAGAAGAAGCACCGGCUAACUACGUG